CCCCUCAGUAAAUUUUUUAAUAAUAGCAACAAAAGCAUGGAAAUUAGAAGAAUCAGGAUGUUUUCCGAAAACAGACUUGGCCCUUGCAAGCAGGUGUGGCUGCUACCAUUCAUCCGAAGUGGAACAUCCCCUGUCUGGCAGUGGUCACAGGGGAGAAGUGUCAUGGCUGGCCUGGCCGAACCAAACACAAAUGGGACAAAGCAAACAACAGCAGCUUCUCAGUAAAUAGGACAAAUGGGCACAACAAUCCUCCUGGUGCUGCUCAGAAGUCCAGUGAUUGUCUGCACACCCAAGCAGGACAUCCCGGGGCAUCCCAGCUAUAAACAUCCCUUAUGAUAUGGCCCCUUCUCCAAAAUCUGCAUAAGCAUAGUCUUCUUUCCCUGCUAGCUGCUACAACCUCUCCCAGAUUGUAGUCCCUGAUUUUAGUCUCUGUUCA